CUGCUGCCUCCCGUAGGAGUUUGGGCCGUGUCUCAGUCCCAAUGUGGCCGUCCACCCUCUCAGGCCGGCUACUGAUCGCUGCCUUGGUGGGCCGUUACCCCGCCAACUAGCUAAUCAGACGCGGAUCCAUCGUAUACCACCGGAGUUUUCUACAC
rnacentral:rRNA from 1 species